rnacentral:rRNA from 1 species
UGCGGAAGGAUCAUUAAAGAGUAAGGGUGCUCAGCGCCCGACCUCCAACCCUUUGUUGUUAAAACUACCUUGUUGCUUUGGCGGGACCGCUCGGUCUCGAGCCGCUGGGGAUUCGUCCCAGGCGAGCGCCCGCCAGAGUUAAACCAAACUCUUGUUAUUAAACCGGUCGUCUGAGUUAAAAUUUUGAAUAAAUCAAAACUUUCAACAACGGAUCUCUUGGUUCUCGCAUCGAUGAAGAACGCAGCGAAAUGCGAUAAGUAAUGUGAAUUGCAGAAUUCAGUGAAUCAUCGAAUCUUUGAACGCACAUUGCGCCCCUUGGUAUUCCGAGGGGCAUGCCUGUUCGAGCGUCAUUACACCACUCAAGCUAUGCUUGGUAUUGGGUGCCGUCCUUAGUUGGGCGCGCCUUAAAGACCUCGGCGAGGCCUCACCGGCUUUAGGCGUAGUAGAAUUUAUUCGAACGUCUGUCAAAGGAGAGGAACUUCUGCCGACUGAAACCUUUUAUUUUUCUAGGUUGACCUCGGAUCAGGUAGGGAUACCCGCUGAACUUAAGCAUA